rnacentral:lncRNA from 1 species
CUCCCCGCCCCCUUCGCGUGACUUUGCCGGUACCCGAGCUUGGGAAUUGGGCUGUUGGGUGGUUGCGCAGGUCUCCGAGCCCUUCUCACGCAACUCCCGGGCAUCGUGCCCCCGGCCAGAGAGACCACUCCCCCCCCCCUCAGCCCGCCCCUUCCUCUGUCCGAGCUCCAGAGGGCGUGGCCAAGCGUGCAAGCUGUUUUAUAAAGGUCGAAGUGACUUCACCCUCAUCCUGAAGGUGACAGGUCUAGGAGUCUCCCCUGAUCUUCUUUGGGGUCCUGGCUUAAGAGACCACGUAUCUCAGCUGAGUUCAGUACUCCUCACAGCCACAGCAGCCAUCUUGAGAUCUCUACACUGAUGAUGUUGUCUGUGUUUGGACUCUCCGUCCCCAUCUCGGCCACAGAGCUUCUCCUGGCCUCCUUUGUCUUCUGCCUGGUGUUCUGGGUGGUCAGGGCCUGGCAGCCUCGGGUUCCCAAAGGCCUGAAGAGUCCACCAGGGCCCUGGGGCUGGCCUCUGCUCGGGCAUGUGCUGACCUUGGGGAAGAACCCACAUCUGGUGCUGGCAAGGCUGAGCCAGCAUUACGGGGACGUGCUGCAAAUCCGCAUCGGCUCCACACCCGUGCUGGUGCUCAGCGGCCUGGACACCAUCCGGCAGGCUCUGGUGCGUCAGGGUGAUGAUUUCAAGGGGCGGCCCAAUCUCUACAGCUUCACUCUGAUCUCUGAGGGCCAAAGCAUGUCCUUCAGCCCAGACUCUGGACCGGUGUGGGCCGCCCGCAGGCGCCUGGCCCAGAACGCCCUGAAGAGUUUCUCCAUUGCCUCAGACCCGGCUUCCUCAUCCUCCUGCUACCUGGAAGACCAUGUGAGCAAGGAGGCUGAGUACCUCAUUGGCAAGUUCCAGGAGCUGAUGGCAAAAGUUGGGCACUUUGACCCCUAUAGAUAUGUAGUGGUGUCAGUGGCCAAUGUCAUCUGCGCCAUGUGUUUUGGCCGGCGCUAUGACCAUGAUGACCAAGAGCUGCUUAGCAUAGUCAACCUGAGUAAUGAGUUCGGGGAUGGCACUGCCUCUGGGAACCCUGUGGACUUCUUCCCCAUCCUUCGAUACCUACCCAACCCUGCCCUGGAUUUCUUCAAGGAUGUGAAUGAGAAGUUCUCCAUCUUCAUUCAUAAGAUGGUCAAGGAACACUACAAAACUUUUGAGAAGGGUCACAUUCGGGAUAUCACAGACAGCCUGAUUGAGCACUGUCAGGACAAGAGGCUGGACGAGAAUGCGAAUAUCCAGCUGUCCGACGAGAAGAUUGUUAACGUUGUCUCGGACCUCUUCGGAGCUGGAUUUGACACAGUCACAACUGCCAUCUCCUGGUGCCUCAUGUACCUGGUGACGAGCCCCAAUGUACAGGAAAAGAUCCAGAAGGAGCUGGACACAGUGAUUGGGAGGGAGCGGCAGCCCCGGCUCUCUGACAGACUCCAGCUGCCCUACAUGGAAGCAUUCAUCCUGGAGAUGUUCCGACAUACCUCCUUCGUCCCUUUCACUAUCCCCCAUAGUACCACAAAAGACACAAGUCUGAGUGGCUUUUACAUCCCCAAGGAGCGUUGUGUCUUUGUGAACCAGUGGCAGAUCAACCAUGACCAGAAGCUAUGGGGUGACCCAUCUGAGUUCCGACCAGAACGAUUUCUCACUCCUGAUGGCACCAUCAACAAGGCACUGAGUGAGAAGGUGAUUCUCUUUGGUUUGGGCAAGAGGAAGUGCAUCGGUGAGACCAUUGCCCGCUUGGAGGUCUUUCUCUUCCUGGCCAUCCUGCUGCAGCAGGUGGAAUUCAGUGUGCCACAGGGCACGAAGGUGGAUAUGACCCCUAUUUAUGGGCUGACCAUGAAGCAUGCCCGCUGUGAGCACUUCCAAGUGCGGAUGCGCACUUAG